GGGUUAAAACUAUAGAUGAUCACGUCUUAACAAAACAUCGGACGGCUCACAAUGCAUCCCCAUCACCAUCUCUCCAUACCUUUCUCCUAUAAAUCCACAACACCACAUCUUAAACCCCAACACUCAAACCCUCAAAACCCUAAACCACUUUCAUCUACAACCCCUUUUCCAGAUCGUCAUAAGUGCACAUUCACCGUCAUUUAUAUCAAGGUAGCGAAACUCUCUUUUCAAUCAAUAAUUAUCACCGAUGAUUUACAAACCAUUGGGGCGAAAUAACGCAUAUUCGUAAAACCCAAAUGUAAAUCGUUGAAAAUCAAGCCGACUUCGUGAUCACAAUGGUUGAGCCGCCCUUUAUUGGGCGGAUCCUGUUGACGGAGAUGGCGUUGUCACAUCCUAUCGCCUUGGGGAGCAGAGUCUCUGCUAUGAGCUCUUGGGACUGGCCGUGAGAAAAACAUUUUUAAUGUUGUUUUGUUACUGUGAGGAAAUUUGUAUAAAAGAACACUAUCUUUUGGGACUGAUUUACCUUUUCAAAAGGUUCUGAAUUUCUGAUGCUAUUUCUGCAAUUCUGAGCCCGUUUUUGUUAUUGGUUU